rnacentral:rRNA from 1 species
AACGAACGCUGGCGGCAUGCCUAACACAUGCAAGUCGAACGAGACCUUCGGGUCUAGUGGCGCACGGGUGCGUAACGCGUGGGAAUCUGCCUUUGCUUCGGAAUAACAGUUAGAAAUGACUGCUAAUACCGGAUGAUGUCUUCGGACCAAAGAUUUAUCGGCAAAGGAUGAGCCCGCGUAGGAUUAGGGUAGUUGGUGGGGUAAAGGCCUACCAAGCCGACGAUCCUUAGCUGGUCUGAGAGGAUGAUCAGCCACACUGGGACUGAGACACGGCCCAGACUCCUACGGGAGGCAGCAGUGGGAAUAUUGGACAAUGGGCGCAAGCCUGAUCCAGCAAUGCCGCGUGAGUGAUGAAGGCC